UACGUAGGUGGCGAGCGUUGUCCGGAUUUACUGGGCGUAAAGAGCGCGCAGGCGGUCGUACAAGUCGCGUGUGAAAGCCCCCGGCUCAACUGGGGAGGGUCACGCGAUACUGUUCGACUCGAAGGCAGGAGAGGGAAGUGGAAUUCCCGGUGUAGUGGUGAAAUGCGUAGAUAUCGGGAGGAACACCAGUGGCGAAGGCGGCGAUCUGGGAAGAUACUGACGCUGAGGUGCGAAAGCGUGGGGAGCAAACAGG
rnacentral:rRNA from 1 species